GGGUGAGGCCAGAAGGGGUGUGAUAUGGGGUACUACUUCUCCAAUGAGUCCAUUUUGAUUGCAGAUCUGAAAGCAUCUUUUCAAAAUGGCAAGUGAGGUGGUUUAUGCAGAGGUAUUGCCCAAUGAAAGAGUGCGUUUUACUUCACAAACUUCAGAUACAGGUGAUCCAACCACAUACGCGGAGGUGAAUGUGAAAUGGCACAGACCUGACAGCACACCCAAGACUACACAUGCAGUGACCUGUUUGGAGAACUCACACUGGUGUUACAUUGCUGUCGCCCUAUACUUCACUGCAGUGAUUCUGCUCAUCACUGUCAUCCUCUUGGCAGUGAAAUGUCACAACCUCUGAGACAGAUGUUGCCAUCCUCCUGAUGCACAGAAUAACUCGGCAGAGGAAGGCUCUGUUUCCUCAACAAAACAAGACAUAAUGCUUGUUUAUUUUUACAUUAUUUUCUCUGAAGAGACCUUUAUGAAAGAAGACAUGACAUCAGUCAGAUCACUCUUCAGUUCCGUCUUUCAGGGUCUCCAUUAAACCUCUAAUCUCUCCAUAUAUGGACAAAACAUAUAUUAUUAUUUGGAAUUUGCUUAAUCCUGUAACAUGAGCAACCAUCCAAUUAUAAUGGUGCAUGCACCAAGGAAUGAGCUCAAGCUGCUGCUUUGAAAGCUGAAUUUGGAUCUUGUCUAGACAACACAACUGACCCUGCGGACCAGUUUGAGACAUCACUUUUAUUUCACACCUGACUUGAUUUUGCAGCAAUCUGCAAUAUAAAUAAGCUUUUAGAUUAGGUAUGUGCAAGUGCAAAAAUUCAUAGAUAAAACAGGGAAUGUGAAAGAUUGCACUGAACUUUUUUACAAAGCCUAGGUUUGGAUGUGAUUUUUCUUCUCCCAACAGCUUUUAGUGGGAUUUGCAUGAAAGGGGUGUUGAAAGAGCAAGAAACUGUAUUCGUUUAGUAGAGAAGUCUCAUUCUCAUCCCCCCACCGGCUUGAACAAAAUUAUUUUGUUCUACUUGUUCAGAAGAGCUUCUCACAGAAAUACAAUAUGUUGUUUCUGUCUUCGGGCAGUAAUUAAUUCUGUAUUUGUUUUGUUUUGUUUUUUUUUUUUCCAAAUCCUGUAUCUUCAGUUAGAUCAGUCCUGCACUGGAACUGAGCCACCUUAGGGUUGAGAUGCAUUUGUCUGUAAUUACUAUUUUUUAUUAUUUUUUAUAUGCACCAGAAAUCAAUAAAGAGAUUUAGUAAAGCACUUAA